AGGCUCCAUGUAGUCCAUACGGGAGGCAUGCAAGUGGGGAACUAAUUCGUGACAAUGGGGGCAACCCGUUGAUCCAAGCAAUGCCUGCGUGUGUGAAUGAAGGCCUUCGGGUUUGUUAAGCACUUUUAUCCGGAACGAAACGCGCAGGGUGUAAUAUCCUUGUGAACUGACGGUACCAGUGAGGAAUAAGCAUCCGGCUAACUUCGUGCCAGG
rnacentral:rRNA from 1 species